UUAAAUAACGAUUGUGUAUGCAAAUGUCAAUGGUUGGUAACGCCCAUAAUAUGAAUAUUCAUGAGCUUGACUGAUAUUAUUAUCCUCUAUUCCAGGCACCUUUCCAUUUUGUGUUCUUUGUGCAUUCUUAUCAGAAAUCCUACGUUCGGUAAAUAAGUCUCUGUAUCACUAUUCUCCUUCUUAUUUGUAUGCAGAUUUGGUUAUAAUGAUUGAUAACUGUAAUCAUCCUCAUUAUUUUAAUAAGAAAUUUUUCUAUCUGUGAUGGAAGUUUUUAUGUACGAUUGCCUGAUCUGAAGACAAGACUUUCGCUGCAUGCAUAUUUAAUGUAUGACGUCACCCACACAGAGUGAGAGCUCGAAGUUUUCUUUGAAAGUUUGAUGGAAAAUGUACAGAGACUUGUCGCAGUUAAUGCAGUACCAAAUACUUGCUUUCUUGGAGUAUGUGCUUGAAACAAGAAUGUCCUGGAGAAAACAGACCACCACAAGAGAAGACAUACAUGUACAGUAUGGACUAUGAAGUUCUACUUAGCCUCUUCAAUGAACUGCUGGAGCUGCGACUGGGUAUCAAAACCUUGGUAUUAUAAACUUCAUAACCAGUGGCGGAGAUAUGUUGUUAGCCAGGGGGUAGGGGUCAGUGCCCCCCCCCCCACUUUUUCAAGUACCCCCAGUAUGCCCCUUUUAUGGCCUUUUCACAUAGGUAAAGUGCCAUAUUACUUUGACAAGUUCCCCUAUAAAUUUGUAAAAUUGCCCCUUCCCCAUUUCACCUCUGAUAAGUGCCCCUUAUCCUUCGACAAGUUCCGAUUCUUCUAUGCAAUAAGUGUUCAUUUUCCAUUCUCAUAACUGCCCUUUUUAAUCUCUAGUAAGUGCCCCUUUUCAACUACGAGAAAUGCCCCUUUUCACUUUUGAUAAGUGCCCCCUCCAUCUCCUGAUUAGUGCUCUUUUCAUCUCUGAUGAGUGUCCCAUUUUGUCUCUAAUAACUGCCACUUUUAUUUGACACGCCCCCUUUUCCUUCCUAAUAAAUGCUCUUUUUUCUGAUCAUAAGUAUCCCUUACCCUUCUCAUAAUUACCCCUUUUCAUCUCUCAUAAGUGCCUUGUUUACUUUAACAUGUGCCUCUUUUCCUUUUUAAUAAGAGCCACUUCCCCGUUUUCAGAAUAGCCCCCUUUCACCUCCAAUAAAUGCCCCUAUUAAAAUCUGAUCUGCACCUCCCUUUUUGUCUCGCCUACAAGCAAAAAGUGAGACAUAGGCGCUGCUUUUCCGGUGACGGCGGCGGCGACGGCGUCAACA